rnacentral:rRNA from 1 species
AUGGAGAUUAAAAAGAUGGGGAGUAGAGUGGCUAGCCACCCAGUUCAUCAAGAUGCACAAGUACAAAAUCAAAAUAAUCUCCUUCAAGCCCAACAGGCCCUGGUAAACGUGAAGCUCGAGAACACCAUGGAUUCACAAAUCAAUAGCCCGUACGGAUCUCUCACCAGACAACAACAACAACAGAUGCAGCAGCUGAGGCACCAGCAGCUACUGCAGCAGCAGCAACAGAAGCAGCUCCAGCAACAGCACGUAUUGCAGCUUCAACAACACCACCAGCAACAGCAGCAGCAGCAGCAACAACUCCAGCAGCACCACCACCACCAGCAGCAACAGCUCCAGCAGCACCACCACCACCAGCAACAGCAGCUUCAGCAGCAUCUGGGCAUGUCUGGAAACCAGAGCGCCCAAGCCCAGCUAGCGCAGCAGUUCAAACAAGCGUCGCAGUCGAUGAACUCGUACGGCAUGCGGGUGCCGCCUGUGAAGGUGGAGGUGUUCCACGAACUGGUGAGCGGGGACUCGUCCAGCGACACCAGCAAACUCACAUCUCCCAAGUAG